UACGAAGGGGGCUAGCGUUGCUCGGAAUCACUGGGCGUAAAGGGUGCGUAGGCGGAUCUUUAAGUCAGGGGUGAAAUCCUGGAGCUCAACUCCAGAACUGCCUUUGAUACUGAGGAUCUCGAGUUCGGGAGAGGUGAGUGGAACUGCGAGUGUAGAGGUGAAAAUUCGUAGAUAUUCGCAAGAACACCAGUGGCGAAGGCGGCUCACUGGCCCGAUACUGACGCUGAGGCACGAAAGCGUGGGGAGCAAACAGG
rnacentral:rRNA from 1 species